AAUUAAUGAACUUGUUAUAAGUGUAUAUUUUGAAAAUAUAAAAAAGAAGAUAGUCUUCUAUUAAUUU
rnacentral:tRNA from 1 species